UACGUAGGGGGCAAGCGUUGUCCGGAUUUAUUGGGCGUAAAGAGCGUGUAGGCGGCCAGAUAGGUCGGUUGUGAAAACUGGAGGCUCAACCUCCAGACGUCGACCGAAACCAUCUGGCUAGAGUCCGGAAGAGGAGAGUGGAAUUCCUGGUGUAGCGGUGAAAUGCGCAGAUAUCAGGAAGAACACCAAUGGCGAAGGCAGC
rnacentral:rRNA from 1 species